GCUAAACAGCUAGCUUAAUUAUUCUAUAAUUUAACACCAUAAAUAUAACAAAAUAAGCCAAACAUUAAAAAUUAAACCAUUCUUUUACCUUAGUAUGGGAGACAGAAAAGGUACAACAAAAGCGAUAGAGACAGUACCGUAAGGGAAAGCUGAAAGAGAAAUGAAAUAACUAAUAAAGCAUUAAAAAGCAAAGAUUAAAACUUGUACCUUUUGCAUCAUGAUUUAGCAAGUACGCCCAAGCAAAGAGGACUUUAGUUUGAGACCCCGAAACCAGAUGAGCUACCCCGAGACAGCCUAUAAUAGGGCUAACCCGUCUCUGUGGCAAAAGAUGUGGGAAGAGCUCCGGGUAGAAGUGACAAACCUACCGAAUCUGGUGAUAGCUGGUUGCCUAAGAAAUGAAUAAAAGUUCAGCCUUAUAUACCUCACAUCAAAAUUAAAUAAGAUUAUAUGAGAAAAACAUAAGAGUUAGUUAAAGGGGGUACAGCCCCUUUAACCAAGGACACAACCUUUUAAGGAGGAUAAAGAUCAUAAUAUAUAAAACGUAUUGUUUUAGUGGGCCUAAAAGCAGCCACCUAUAUAGAAAGCGUCAAAGCUCAAACAGAAAAAAGUUUAUUAUUCUGAUAACAAAUCUUAUUCCCCUGACAAAUUACUAGGCCAAUCCAUGCUCCCAUGGAAGAGAUUAUGCUAAAAUGAGUAACAAGAAGGCCCGCCCUUCUCCACCGCAUAAGUGUAAGCCAAAUCGGACUAACCAUUGGCAACUAACGAACUCAAACAAAGAGAGUAAUGUGAGCUACAAAAAAAUCAGGAAAACUCCACAAACAACUAUCGUUAACCCCACACUGGUAUGCACAAAAGGAAAGACUAAAAGAAAUGGAAGGAACUCGGCAAACACAAGCCUCGCCUGUUUACCAAAAACAUCGCCUCCUGCUAUAUAAUUAAGUAUAAGAGGUCCAGCCUGCCCAGUGACCACAAGUUUAACGGCCGCGGUAUUUUAACCGUGCAAAGGUAGCGCAAUCACUUGUCCUUUAAAUAAGGACCUGUAUGAACGGCUAAACGAGGGCUUAGCUGUCUCCCAUUUUAAGUCAGUGAAAUUGAUUUAUCCGUGCAGAAGCGGAUAUAAAUAUACAAGACGAGAAGACCCUUUGGAGCUUAAGGCACAGUACUUAAUCACGUCAAACAACUCAAUAAAAAGCAAUUUGAACUUUGUGGCCGUAAGAAUACUGCCUUCGGUUGGGGCGACCAUGGAGAAAAAGGAAUCCUCCAAGUGGGCUGGGCUAAUUUCCCCUCCCCUAAAACUAAGAGAGACAUCUCUAAGACGCAGAAUAUCUGACCAUAAAUGAUCCGGCUAACCAAGACCGAUCAACGAACCAAGUUACCCUAGGGAUAACAGCGCAAUCCUCUCCAAGAGACCCUAUCGACAAGAGGGUUUACGACCUCGAUGUUGGAUCAGGACAUCCUAGUGGUGCAGCCGCUAUUAAGGGUUCGUUUGUUCAACGAUUAAAGUCCUACGUGAUCUGAGUUCAGACCGGAGCAAUCCAGGUCAGUUUCUAUCUGUAACGCAACUUUUCCUAGUACGAAAGGGCCGGAAAAGAGGGGCCCAUGCUCAAGGCAUACCCCACCCCUAACUUAUGAAAGCAAAUAAAUAUGAUAAAGGGGAGCAAAAACCUUUAGACCAAGAUAAGGUCAU
rnacentral:rRNA from 1 species